rnacentral:lncRNA from 1 species
CGGAAGGCGCCGGCGCCCAGCUGGGUCAGGUUGUUGUAGCUGAGGUCGAGGAAGGCCAGCUUGGCCGAGCCGCUGAACGUGCCCUCCUCCAGCGAGCGCAGCGAGUUGUUCCUGAAGUCCAGGUAGACCAGGUCGCCGUAGAAAAUGAAGAAGUCCUCGGGGAUGUGCUGGAUGCGGUUGCCGGCCACCAGCAGCUUGCGCACGUCCAGCGGGAAAGGGUCGGGCACGCUGGGCAGCCCGCGGUCGCGGCAGUCCACGGUGUGCGGGUCGGUGCAGGCGCAGCCCGCGGGGCACGCGUGCCCGGGCCGGAGCAGUAGCAGCAGGAGGAGGCUGCGGACGCCGAGCGCGGCGGCGGCGGCGGCGGGGGCGCCGGAGGGGGCGCGGGGGGCGGCGCGGAGGCGCAUGGCCGGAGGGGACCCGCGCGAGCCGCGGCUACGCGGACGUGGCUCUCGGGGCGAGCCCUCCCGGCGCGGGGCGGUGCGCGGGUCCCCGGGCGGCCGGGCGCUGGGAGCUGGAGGGCGGCCGGGGCGGGGGGGGGGGGGGGNUGGCGGGAGGGGCCCCGCGCGAGCCGCGGCUACGCGGACGUGGCUCUCGGGGCGAGCCCUCCCGGCGCGGGGCGGUGCGCGGGUCCCCGGGCGGCCGGGCGCUGGGAGCUGGAGGGCGGCCGGGGCGGGGAGGGCGUGCGCCCGGGCGCGCGGGGGCGACCGAGCGCGACGCGGACGGACUGGGGGAGUCCGGGGCGGCGGGGACGCACAGGGGAGAGUCGGGGAGGGAGGGGCGAGGACUCGCGAAGGACUUACCCGGACAGGAAAUUAACCCGCUGGAAAAUCCCAGGGAGAGGCCGGAGCGAUAGAGGUUGCCGAGGGGACUUCGCCGAAGCGGCCCCACCCGGGGCCGCUUGUUUUCUGAGACCCGGCAAUAAGACCUGUCGCUGGGACUUGCCAGGAGCGCGCUCGACGACUAAGUUCGGUUACGGAGCGCCCCCCACCCCGGCGAUUUCCAGAGGGCGUGUGGGGGGCGUGCGCCCGCCUGGUGCCUAAGCGCGCUCCCCGGGCGCCAGGCCGGUUGCCAAAGGGAACGCGGCCUGGGUCCCUCUGGCUCUGCGCCCCGGGGGCAGUCCCCGCGGGCUCUGGGGGGCCAAGCCAGGAGCUGCUGACCUAGGGUUGGGCGGGGCUCCAGAGUGGCUCGUUUUCCUGCCUCACUCCGCCCACCCGCACUCGACCCAUCUCAGGGAGGCACUCGGGGUCAGUGAGGCUGGCAGCUGCCUGCCCCACCCCCCUCCCCCCCUCGCUGUGGCCCAAAAGGAAGCCAGGGCCAGUCAGCGCUUUCCAUGCUGGCCGGAGCUCGUCGGGAACCGGAGUCCCCCUUGGCACGAUCCGACCUGGCGACCUGGCUGCUGGUCUGCCCGAGGCCCAGCGGAGAGGCACUGUGGCCUGGGGUCAGAGACCUGGCUCCCCAGGGGUGUGGCCUCAGUUCCAGUGCCUCCGCCUCUCUGGACC